CGGAGAGUUUGAUCCUGGCUCAGAACGAACGCUGGCGGCGUGCUUCAUACAUGCAAGUCGCGCGAGAAAGCGUCCUUCGGGGCGUUAGUAAAGCGGCGAACGGGUGCGUAACACGUGGGCAACCUACCCAUCGGUUCGGGAUAAGCUUCCGAAAGGGGGUCUAAUACCGAACGACAUCCCGCCGGGGCAUCCCGGUGGGCUCAAAGGUGUCAGUCUUCGGAUUGUCACUGCCGGUGGAUGGGCCCGCGGUCCAUUAGCUUGUUGGCGGGGUCACGGCCCACCAAGGCGACGAUGGAUAGCCGACCUGAGAGGGUGAUCGGCCACACUGGGACUGAGAUACGGCCCAGACUCCUACGGGAGGCAGCAGUAGGGAAUAUUGCGCAAUGGGCGAAAGCCUGACGCAGCAACGCCGCGUGGGUGACGAAGCUCCUUGGAGUGUAAAGCCCUGUCAGUGGGGAAGAAACGGUCGUCGAGGUAAUGCGGCGGCCCUGACGGUACCCGCAGAGGAAGUUCCGGCUAACUCCGUGCCAGCAGCCGCGGUAACACGGGGGGAACGAGCGUUGUUCGGAUUUACUGGGCGUAAAGGGUGCGUAGGCGGGCCGGUCAGUCGGGUGUGAAAACCCGCGGCUUAACCGCGGGCUGGCAUUCGAAACUGCCGGUCUUGAGUACGGGAGAGGAAAGUGGAAUUCCUGGUGUAGCGGUGAAAUGCGUAGAUAUCAGGAGGAACACCGUUGGCGAAGGCGGCUUUCUGGACCGAUACUGACGCUGAGGCACGAAGGCCGGGGGAGCAAACAGGAUUAGAUACCCUGGUAGUCCCGGCGGUAAACGAUGGGCACUAGGUGUCGGAGGUAUCAACCCCUCCGGUGCCGCAGUUAACACAUUAAGUGCCCCGCCUGGGGAGUACGGCCGCAAGGCUGAAACUCAAAGGAAUUGACGGGGGCCCGCACAAGCGGUGGAGUAUGUGGUUUAAUUCGACGCAACGCGAAGAACCUUACCUGGGCUUGACAUACGGCGGACAAGGUUGGAGACAACCUCUCUCCUUCGGGAGCCGCCGCACAGGUGCUGCAUGGCUGUCGUCAGCUCGUGCCGUGAGGUGUUGGGUUAAGUCCCGCAACGAGCGCAACCCCUGUCCCCAGUUGCCAGCGGAUCAUGCCGGGAACUCUGGGGAGACUGCCCCGGUCAACGGGGAGGAAGGUGGGGAUGACGUCAAGUCCUCAUGGUCCUUACGUCCAGGGCUACACACGUACUACAAUGGCCGGUACAGAGGGUCGCAAGACCGCGAGGUGGAGCCAAUCCCUAAAACCGGCCUCAGUUCAGAUUGGAGUCUGCAACUCGACUCCAUGAAGGUGGAAUCGCUAGUAAUCGCGGAUCAGCACGCCGCGGUGAAUACGUUCCCGGGCCUUGUACACACCGCCCGUCAAGCCAUGGAAGCCGGGGGUACCCAAAGUCAUCGUUCUAACCCGCAAGGGAUGGCGAUGCCCAAGGUAAACCCGGUGACUGGGGCUAAGUCGUAACAAGGUAGCCGUAGCGGAAGCUGCGGCUGGAUCACCUCCUUUCUAAGGAG
rnacentral:rRNA from 1 species